rnacentral:rRNA from 1 species
UACGAAGGGUGCAAGCGUUACUCGGAAUUACUGGGCGUAAAGCGUGCGUAGGUGGUCGUUUAAGUCCGUUGUGAAAGCCCUGGGCUCAACCUGGGAACUGCAGUGGAAACUGGGUGACUAGAGUGUUGUAGAGGGGAGCGGAAUUCCGUGUGUAGCGGUGAAAUGCGUAGAGAUCAGGAGGAACAUCCAUGGCGAAGGCGGCUGCCUGGACCAAUACUGACACUGAGGUACGAAAGCGUGGGGAGCAAACAGG